AGACACGGGAAGGAAAGAUCUUGAUGCUGGUGUAUCACAUUAAAAACAUGUGAAAAGUGGUUGAAUUUUUUUGAGAGUUACUAGUCGACUUCAAGUAGGGCUGAAGACUGAGCUAUCCUGCACUGGGAAACAGCAUACAUAUGUAACAAAGUGCACUAACCAUGUGGGAGCGUGGUGUUGAGUGACAGUGCUGACAGAGGGAGACCGCAAACAGUGGUCUGAUGCUGCAAGAACACAACCUCUGGUGAGGCCAGGGAAGCAAGACAGUAGGAAGAGUUUCUGGCCAAGAAAGCUGUAUGACUUCACUACCAGAUAAAUAAAGUCUACCAGUUACUGAAUCUACAGAUUGGGCUGGAUUCUGCUGCAGUAACCUGAGUCUGGGAUGAGUUCUGUGGGAAGCAGAGCACUCCUGUUCUGCAGAUGGGACACUUCAGUUUUGAAUAUUUUCAGUUUGGCACCUCGGUAAGUUUUUAAAGACCCUGAACGUGGUUUAUAGCUACAGUUUGCAGGAGGGUACACGUAAUCAAUACGUGUAUCAAAUCAAUGGCACUUGUGCUUUGGACUUGCAUCAUAUUAACACUUGAGACCUGCAGCAAAACUCAAGUGAGUUCAGCUACCCAAACCCAGGGAUCCUCCAUGAAGAGAGCAAAGAGCUGUGUUGUCUCUGUGCUGUCAGGGCAUGGAAAUUAGUUUAGACAUAAAUAGAAAGGAUGGCAU